rnacentral:miRNA from 1 species
CAACAACAAGAAGAAGAAUAAGCU